ACUUCAACAGCAUGUAUAUUUAAAACUUGGAACCAUAUGGAGAAAAUUAGUAUAGACCCUACACAAGGAUGACACACAAAUAUGUGAAACAUUCUGUAUUUUC
ensembl:snRNA U6 U6 spliceosomal RNA